CUCUGUCCUCCAUCCUUAUCCCUUUAUCCCUGUCCUGCACCCUUAUCCCUGUCCUGCACCCUUAUCCCUGUCCUCCAUCCUUAUCCCUGUCCUGCACCCUUAUCCCUGUCCUCCAUCCUUAUCCCUGUCCUGCACCCUUAUCCCUGUCCUGCAUCCUUAUCCCGGUCCUGCAUCCUUAUUCUUGUCCUGCAUCCUUAUCCUUGUCCUGCAUCCUUCUGCCACGUCCUCCAUCCAUGUCCUCCAUCCUUACUCCUUGACUUCCAUCCCUGUCCUCCAUCCUUAUCCUUGUCCUGUGUCCUUGUGCCAUGUCCUCCAUCCAUGUCCUCCAUCCUUAUCCCUGUCCUGCACCCGUAUCCCUGCCCUCCACCCUUAUCCCUGUCCUGCACCCUUAUCCCUGUCCUGCACCCUUAUCCCUGUCCUGCAUCCUUAUCCCUGUCCUCCAUCCUUAUCCCUGUCCUGCACCCUUAUCCCUGUCCUGCACCCUUAUCCUUGUCCUGCACCCUUAUCCCUGUCCUGCACCCUUAUCCCUGUCCUGCAUCCUUAUCCCUGUCCUGCACCCUUAUCCCUGUCCUGCAUCCUUAUCCCUGUCCUGCACCCUUAUCCCUGUCCUGCACCCUUAUCCUUGUCCUGCAUCCUUCUGCCACGUCCUCCAUCCAUGUCCUCCAUCCUUACUCCUUGACUUCCAUCCCUGUCCUCCAUCCUUAUCCUUGUCCUGUGUCCUUGUGCCAUGUCAUCCAUCCAUGUCCUCCAUCCUUAUCCUUAUCCUGCCUCCUUGUGCCGUGUCCUCCAUCCUUACUCCUUAUCCUCCAUCCCUACUCCUUGUCCUCCAUCCCUGUCCUCCAUCCUUAUCCUUGUCCUGCGUCCUUGUGCCACAUCCUCCAUCCUUACUCCUUGACUUCCAUCCCUGUCCUGCACCCUUAUCAUUGUCCUGCAUCCUUGUGCCAUGUCCUCCAUCCUUACUCCUUAUCCUCCAUCCCUACUCCUUGUCCUCCAUCCCUACCCUCCAUCCUCAUCCUUGUCCUACAUCCUUGUGCCACAUCCUCCAUCCAUGUCCUCCAUCCUUACUCCUUGUCCUCCAUCCCUGUCCUCCAUCCUUAUCCUUGUCCUGCAUCCUUGUGCCAUAUCCUCCACCCACGUCCUCCAUCCUUACUCGUUGUCCUCCAUCCCUGUCCUCCAUCCUUAUCCUUGUCCUGCCUCCUUUUGCCAUGUCCUCCAUCCUUAUCCUUGUCCUCCAUCCUUACUCCUUGACCUCCAUCCCUGUCCUCCAUCCUUAUCCUUAUCCUGCAUCCUCAUCCCUGUCCUCCAUCCUUAUCCUUGUCCUGUGUCCUUGUGCCACGUCCUCCACCCAUGUCCUCCAUCUUUACUCCUUGUCCUCCAUCCCUGCCCUCCAUCCUUAUCCUUGUACUGCGUCCUUCUGCCACGUCCUCCAUCCUUACUCCUUAUGCUCCAUCCUUACUCCUUGCCCUCCAUCCCUGUCCUCCAUCCUUAUCAUUGUCCUGCAUCCUUGUGCCAUGUCCUCCAUCCAUGUCCUCCAUCCUUACUCGUUGUCCUCCAUCCCUGUCCUCCAUCCUUAUCCUUGUCCUGCAUCCUUCUGCCACAUCCUCCAUCCUUACUCCUUGUCCUCCAUCCUUACUCCUUAUCCUCCAUCCUUACUCCUUGCCCUCCAUCCCUGUCCUCCAUCCUUAUCCUUGUCCUGCAUCCUUGUGCCACGUCCUCCAUCCAUGCCCUCCAUCCUUACUCCUUAUGCUCCAUCCUUAUCCUUGUCCUCCAUCCCUGUCCUCCAUCCUUAUCCUUGUCCUGCAUCCUCAUCCCUGUCCUCCAUCCUUACUCCCUGUCCUCCAUCUUUACUCCUUGUCCUCCAUCCCUGUCCUCCAUCCUUAUCCUUGUCCUGCAUCCUCCAUCCAUGUCCUCCAUCCUUACUCCUUGUCCUCCAUCCUUAAUCCUCGUCCUCCAACCCUGUCCUCCAUCCUUAUUCCUGUCUUCCACCCUUAUCUUUGUCCUCCAUCCUUACAUCUUGUCCUCCAUCCAUGCCCUCCAUCCUUAUUCCGUCCUCCAUCCACGUCCUCCAUCCUUGCUUCUUGUCCUCCAUCCUUAUCCUUGUCCUCCAUCCUUACUCCCUGCCCUCCUUCCUUACUCCCUGUCCUCUAUCCUUACUCCCUGUCCUCCAUCCCCGCUCCCUGUCCUCCAUCCUUGUUCCAUACCCUCCAUCCUUGCUCCCUGUCCUCCAUCCUUAUUUCCUGUCCUCCAUCCUUGCUCCUUGUCCUCCUUCCUUACUCCCUGUCCUCCAUCCUUGCUCCUUGUCUUCCUUCCUUACUCCCUGUCCUCCAUCCUUGCUCCCUGUCCUCCAUCCUUGCUCCUUGUCCUCCUUCCUUACUCCCUGUCCUCCAACCUUAUUUCCUGUCCUCCACCCUUGUCUUUGCCCUCCAUCCUUAUCCUUGUCCUCCAUCCUUAUCCUUGUCCUCCAUCUUUGUACCUUGUCCUCCACCCAUAUCCUCCAUCCUUGCUACAUGUCCUCCAUUCUUACUCUCUGUCCUCCACUCUUCUCCUUUGUCCUCCAUUCUUAUUCCUUGACCUCCAUCCACGUCCUCCAUCCUUACUCCUUGUCCUCCAUCCUUAUUCUCUGUCCUCCACUCUUAUUCCUUGUCCUCCAUCCAUGGCCUCCAUCCUUAUUCCCUGUCCUCCAUCCAUGCCCUCCAUCCUUACUCCUUGUCCUCCAUCCCUGUCCUCCAUCCUUAUCCUUGUCCUGCAUCCAUACCCUCCAUCCUUAUUCCUUGUCCUCCAUCCUUACUCCUUGUCCUCCAUCCAUGCUCUCCAUCCUUACUCCUUGUCCUCCACCCUUAUUCUCUGUCCUCCACUCUUAUUCCUUGCCCUCCAUCCAUGCCCUCCAUCCUUACAUCUUGUCCUCCAUCCUUACAUCUUGUCCUCCAUCCAUGCCCUCCAUCCUUACAUCUUGUCCUCCAUCCUUACAUCUUGUCCUCCAUCCAUGCCCUCCAUCCUCAUUCCCUGUCCUCCACCCACGUCCUCCAUCCUUGCUUCUUGUCCUCCACCCUUAUCCUUGUCCUCCAUCCUUACUCCCUGCCCUCCUUCCUUACUCCUUGUCCUCUAUCCUUACUCCCUGUCCUCCAUCCCCGCUCCCUGUCCUCCAUCCUCACUCCUUGUCCUCCCCUAUUGCCCCAGAGACGCAAAAUGGACCUCACUUCACCAGCAGCCCACAUGGGCACCCAGAGAGCUGCAUUUCUCCAAAGCCUGGACGCAGAGAAGCUUGGGAGAACCUCUGCGAGUGGGACAAGGAAUGCCCACCAUCCUUAUAUCCUCCUCUGUCCCUGCCCUGAAGAUGGCGAAGGUGGCAACCAAGCGGAAGGGCACGAAGUCAGCACAGCUUCAGCCCGGCACGCACAGAACACCAUUCCCACCAGCAAAAAGCCACCUCCGGUCUCCCAGAGCUCUUCUCAAUUUCGAACAGCUUCAGAACUCAUCUCACUGAGGGUUCCUCAAUGCCUCCUGGAUCCCUCCGGGUCAUCCCGGCCCCUCCUGGGUCCUUCCCAGCCCAGCAGCGCAGAGCCCACGCUGACGCUGGAGCACAGACGAAUCCCUCUCGGCUCACUUUUCAGGUGAAGCAAACUGAAUCCCAGCAAGGGGAGGCUGGAAAUGCUCCAGCCUACGGCGGGUCCCACCUCUUCAACGGCUGUGUUCCAUCACCAGAGAGCCAGCGUGUGCUCCAGGGAGCAGCCCGCGGCACCUGCUGGGAUUGCGCAGUGCCAACAGCCGUCAGCUCUGACAAGGCCUGACACUCUUAUUGCUGCACAUGGCCAGUUACGGUAAUACGAAAGGACUCCUGUCCUCCUGAGCCCGCCGUGAUUGAAUUAACAUGAUCACCCUUUUUUUGCCAGUAACGUAGGCCUGGGUUUUUUGGGGUUUUUUUUUCCUUAAAUCAAUAAGACACGUCGUUUGCAAGAGGCUUUUAUCGUGCCGUGUUCACACAAGCCUGUGAGCCCGACCCCCCCUCACGCCUCCAUCAGUGACAGCGAUGUGUCAAUGGGCACUGUUCUGCUCGCUGGAUGACGCUGAGCUCUGCUGAGGAUGUGCCCCUGCUGCCAGCCCAAAAGAACGUGAACAACGCUCCCCCAAGGAGCAGCAAGGGGAAAAGAACGCUGCUUUCCAAGGCGCCGGGUAGAGUUUGGGUGCUGGACCAGAUGGGGGUUGGAGCUUCAUGAUCCUUGAGGUGCCUUCCAACCUGGGCCUUUCUAAGACCUUGGAAGGUCCCUUCCAACCCAAAUGAUGGGUGGGAAUUACGAGGGCAGAGUGGGAAUCCAGCAAAGUGACCCCAGGGAGCACAGCUGUGCUUCAGGAGCUCCUCCUCCUCCCAGCGACGGUGGUUGGACUGCCCAAAGCAACGCUGAGUGGGGGGACGGGGGAGAACCCGAACGGAAAGGAUGCCAAAGACACCCAGAGCGGCCAAGUUGGAAAGUAAAGAGCAGGAAUUCGUAGGGGGAUGGGAUGCGGGCUAACAUUGAAGAGCAAAUUACUCAGCCACGGCUUCUGCCAGCGCUGCUUGGAGAGGUUGUAUGGGACACAACAUGAGCACGGUUGGCACGCCUGGUGGGGAUGGGCUGGUUGGAUUUGGGGAUCUUGGAGGUCAUUGCCAGCCUUAAUAACUCCGAUUCUACGAGCAAACACGGUGGGGAUGGGUUGGCGGUUGGAUUUGGGGAUCUUGGAGGUCACUUCCAACCUUAAUGACUCUGAUUCUCUGAGCAAACAUGGUGGGGAUGGGUUGGUUGGAUCUGGGGAUCUUGGAGGUCAUUGUCAGGCUUAAUGACUCCAAUUCUACGAGCGAACACGGUGGGGGUGGGUUGGUGGUUGGACAUGGAGAUCCUGGAGCUCAUUGCCAGCCUUAAUGGCUCUGAUUCUAUGAGCAAACACGGUGGGGAUGGGUUGGCGGUUGGAUUUGGGGAUCUUGGAGGUCAUUGCCAGCCUUAAUGACUCCGAUUCUACAAGCAAAACAUGGUGGGGAUGGGUUGGUGUUGAUUUGGGGAUCUUGGAGGUCAUUUCCAACCACAGUGUUCCCACAGUUCGGUCGCUGUGCAACAGAUGUUGGCCGAUGAGGUCCAUUUUGCUGCCUGAAGGAGUCCAGAUGCAGUUAAGCGCUGCGCCGGGCCACCAGAAUCAGCGGUUCGUAAGGUUCUCAAUGACCAAGACAGACCUUGGAGGUCUCUUCCUUCAUCAUUCUACGACUCCACGGCUCGGGAUCUCCUUUCUUAGCUGCCUCAGUGGACGGUGCUGGCGCACAUGGGCUCGGGAAAGCCUCCUGUCCUCCACAGCCCCUUACAGAACAAGCUGGCUGAUCCUACUGGGGACGAAGGUCGGUGCUGCCCACCCUCUGCCUGCACAGCAGCACGACGGGAAGGGAAAGCGAAGACCCACCUCCUCUCUCACUCCCUCCACGUGUGCGGAGCUGUUAAACACCCCAAACACAACGUCACCGUGCCCACGACCACUCCGAGAGGGACCUAAUUUGCUCCCCUGCCCUACGGGGGAACUACCCUUAAGCACUCGGCCGCUCGCACGCUUAUUGCCCUCGCCACGGCGGGACGUUAAGCUUCGGCGCAGUGAGAUGAUUGCUUUUUAAAUCCCAGUCUCCCAGGAUUUUAAUUACUGGUCUGGCAGGGCUGGGAGUGGAAGUUGCUGCCGUCGGACGGAGGGGUCGAUACGCCGUCCCGGAACAUAUUGAGCCACGGUGCUCGCAGGCUCUAUUGAACUAUUUAAUCUUUCUUUUUUUUUUCUUGCAAAAUUUACCGCGCGGCAGAAGGGAUCAAUACUGAAUUUAUCACGUUGCCUCGUAAAUAUGAGCACGGAGAGGGGAAAGAGCGUCUCAGGCUCUCCUGCCCAACAGCUGGCCGGGGGUGGGCGCCGACUGCAGCUGCAGCACGGCACUGGGGGGGGCGGGGGCACAGAGGGGGCUGCCCAACGCCGCCUCUGCCCCCGUGGGGAAAGGACAAGGCAGGUGUGGGGCUGUGCUUGCGCAGCAGCUCAAGGCCGACGGGUCCUCGGCUCCAGGUGGGACAAGGCAGAAGCAGAGCAGUUUGCAGCUCUCCUUUCCCCCGGCUGAGCUGCGGGCAGCCGGGCGGAAGCGCUGGGAGCGUUGGGGCCCCGUCGGGUCAGGAGGACGGCAGCGCUCCGCUCAGCGCAACUUCUGCUC
ensembl:lncRNA